GACGAACGCUGGCGGCGUGCCUAAUACAUGCAAGUUGAGCGAUGAAGAUUGGUGCUUGCACCAAUUUGGAGAGCAGCGAACGGGUGAGUAACGCGUGGGUAAUCUGCCUUUAAGAGGGGGACAACAUUUGGAAACGAAUGCUAAUACCGCAUAACAACUUUAAACAUAAGGUUUAAGAUUGAAAGAUGCAAUUGCAUCACUCAAAGAUGAUCCCGCGUUGUAUUAGCUAGUUGGUGAGGUAAAGGCUCACCAAGGCGAUGAUACAUAGCCGACCUGAGAGGGUGAUCCGGCACCAUUGGAACUGGGCACCGCCCCAACUCCUACGGGAGGGAGCAGUAGGGAAUCUUCGGCAAGGGGCGAAAGUCUGACCGAGCAACGCCGGGGGAGGGGAGAAGGGUCUUGGAUCGGAAAACUCUGUUGAUAGAGAAGGACGUUGGUGGGAGUGGAAAGCGCAUCAAGUGACGGUAACUACCCAGAAAGGGACGGCUAACUACGUG
rnacentral:rRNA from 1 species